AGGCGCGUGGCUCAUUGGUGGAGUGUGUGCCUGCCAUACACAAGUCCCUGGGUUCAGAUCCCAGCACCACUA
rnacentral:tRNA from 1 species